CAUGACUAAAUAAAGCGACCUUGAACCUUGAACCACUUUCUGUUAGCAUUUUACAGUGCUCCUAAAAAGUGAACCUAACUGUUUUUGUUUCAUUUUAGCACAAUUAAUAAUGAGUGUUAAUUCUUCAAUACAGAUGGAACAGUUUACCAAUUCAGCAAUAUAUGACAACAUCUCUCUAGGUGAGUGGAACCCAGAUUACUUAUCAUGCAUCAAAGACUACAACUUCCUUAUUCUGAUUCUGUCCAUCAGCUAUGGUGUGAUUUUUCCAGCAAGCCUUCUAGGGAAUGGCUAUGUGAUAGUCCAUUUCUUCCUACACAGAAAGUCUUCGUCAACAUCCAAGAAGCUGAUGGCCAACUUGGCAAUGCUGGACUUUUUGCUGGCCUUGAGCCUUCCCCUUGUCAUUGUGUAUCACAGUAAAGGAAACAACUGGCUCUUUGGAAACUUCUUCUGUUAUGUGUCAUCUUGCCUCUUUUAUGGCAACUUGUAUGGCAGCAAUUUAUUCUUCAUAACCAUCUGCUUGGAGAGAUACACAGCUGUCUGCCACCCCUUCAUAUAUCAGAGAGUAAAGACUCCAGCUAUUUGCAGAACCAUUUGUUGCUCCAUUUGGCUGAUCAUCAUUAUGGGAAUUAUCUUUAUUUGCACAAAGGUUCAGAUGGUUACUAGACAUCCUAAUGGGACCAUAACUUGUGGAGAUGCAUUUUCUGAAGAGGCAUGGAGUGACCUGUUGACACCCCUCAUUAUUAUAUUAUCUGUCAUGAGUUUCUUUGUCCCCUAUGUCUUUGUAUUAUCCUGCUAUUCCCUAAUUGUCCUAAAACUAAGAUAUUUAGACAGCAACAUCCGGUCACAAGUGCCAAAGAAAAAAUGCAUGCAGGCCAUCCUGUCCGUCUUUGUGGUGAUGACAAUCUGCUACUUGCCCUUUCACACUUUUCAGAUGGUAAACGCCUUUCACAGACUGCACUCUGCUCGCAUUCAGAGAGCUUCCUUCUUUAUAUGUGUGGGCCAGCGCAUCUCAGUCUGCCUGGCGAGCCUCAACAGCUUUCUCGACCCCUUUGUUUAUUAUUUUUUGUGUGACAGUUUCAAAUGGGCAUAUUCCUGUCUUGGCGUGGACAAAGACAGCAAGACAACCAUAAGUAAAGAAACUGCUGAGAUAAAACUAUAAGCACCAGACAAACAUGUCCAGCGUCCUCAGUUCAAACGAUCAAGUCAUCUAUGCAUCCCUUUAUGUACUCACAUGCUUUUAGUUCAUGGUCGAGUCAGCAUUGGGCUCAAGGCACAGUCCAGUGAAAGGGCACCAGUCUAUCACAGGACAUCCACCAAACAUCUAUCCAUUCAUCUUCUGCAGCUGGUGAAGUGAAAAUAGACUUGUAAUUUUUAUAUUGAAAUUUUGCAGUUUAUGAUGAAAGUAGGUAAUAAAGAUAGAUAGAUAGAUAGAUAGAUAGAUAGAUAGAUAGAUAGAUAGAUAGAUAGAUAGAUAGAUAGAUAGAUAGAUAGAUACUUUAUUCAGUUUAUUUCUAAAAACAGUAACACCUAUAAGCAGAAAAUUCAGACCUUGUAUCCAACUAUCCAUUUUAUUAAGAAUGGCAAUGGCAGCAGGGCAGAAACCAAACAAGAAGGGCACACCAGUCCACCAGAGGACACACUCACAUAGACUGACACAGGGCCACUUUAGGGUCAUUCAUUUGCCUGCCUGGUACUAUGAUGUGGAAAGAACACCGAGACUAACUUACUAACUUAAGGUGAGCAUGCAAACUCAAUACAGACACUGACCAGGUGGGAUUGAAACCUGGUGUACCAGAGUAGUGAGGCAGCCAAAGUAACCACCCAGGCAUCAAACAAUUCAUUAAUCUUGAAUUUAUAUUUCAUAGAGCUCACCAUGACAAGAUGCAUAAAAAAAUCACACAAUCUGUGCCUUUUCAAAAAUGUUGUGACCAGGAGGGUUGCUCUUGAGUUGACCCUGAACCCAGAAUAACCGAGGAGAUGCAGGUCAGAUGAAACCAAAGGCUGAUCUGGACAAAAAAGUAAAGUAAAUACUGUACAAUGAUACGUCAACACAAGGAGUGGUAACAGUGCAACAACGCAAAAUAAUAAAGGACCAGAGCUAGAGUUAUGCACAGAAGGGUGGCUACAGUCUCUCAAGCCCCUGCUCCUUUCCCCUGAAUGGAUCAAAUGUCCUCUCCUCCUGUUACUACUUAACUGGUCAGUUCUGAACACAAGUGAGCACCUUCAUUUCACUGUAAGAAUAAAAGAAAAGGCAAAAAUAGGCCUAAAGAUAGCUAGGCUACUGUUUUCUGACCCACAAAGAAAUAUAUUCUGUGAUAAUUAUUGAUAUUAAUCACACACAAAAAUGUAAAAUAAAAGUUUAUGUACUGGUCAAGCUGGUUUGUAUGAUGUUAUAGUGCAGAAGGUAGCAUUAUAUUUCAGCCAUGCUUCCUCCCCUGGCUGGAGUUCAAAUACUGUUUUUAUUUCUUUUUUGUUCAUUUUUGAUUCUUUUGUUUAUGUUGACAUUGUUGAUCACUUUGUUUCUUUAUGUCUAUAUAUCUUUUUACAUGUACCAUUUGUUUUGUGGGUGGUCCCCCAAGAGGCAGGACCACCUGCCUUAUCACCACAAGCGACUGCUGAUGAAAACCCACAGUUCCUUGCGGUUCAUUGAAUGUGCUAGUACUACUGGCCAUUUAUUUCCAGUCAGAAGCAAGACCCUGCAAUUAAGUACUGAAGAGGUUUGAAGUUGUUUGAGUAAACAUGGCUGCUCUGCUCUCCAUUUGCACCAAAGAAGAACAGCAAGCAGUGAUCUACUUUUUAUGGGCUGAAGAUGUAUCAGGGACUGAAAUCCACAGAAGUUUUUUUUACACAAUAUGAAGACAGAGUUUUCCAUGGCAGAGAGUUUACAAAUGGAUGGAGUAGUUCAAAAAUGGUCGAGCAAGCUUUAAACACAAAGAACACGUGGGAUGCUUUUCUACAACUGCUUCUGACAGUAGCAUUGGACAAGUCUGUAUCAUGACUCUGACAAACCAACAAAGAUUUUGGUCCCUUUCAAAAAGAUCAAAAAUAAUUAGAUAAGGUGGAAGCCCUUGCAUAACUGUAACAGUUUUAUUUAUUUUUUCCCAGCUAUUGUUACAAGCUACAUAGAAUAAGUAACAUAAAAAACAACUUUUGGGUUGAGUAUGCCUUUAAACUCCAAGAUCUCCAGUUCAAUCCCACCUCUGACUCAGUAAGUGACCCUUAACAAGUUUAAUUUGCCUCUGCUCCAACUGCAAAAAUGUAUGUAUACAAUUGUGCUAUAUCCUGAACUAUUAAUUAUCUUUGGAUACAAAUGCCAGUUAAACAUUCUGUAAAUAAAUACUUGCAUACAGCCACACUUGCUCAUACCAGGCCAAAGUUAAGCAACUGAUCAAUGGAAAUGAGAAGAAUGCAAGAAUUAUAAAAAAAAGACCAUCAUGUACCACACGGAAAACAUGUGACCUUCACAUAGACAGUGUCCGGGCUAUCCACUGCAUCACCAUGCCACCCUUUUGUGGAAAAUUCUUAUUCUUGUUGAAUAUGCCACACAGUAAAUAUUUCCUCUUUUCAUGAGACUUUCACUUGUAGACUACAUUUAUAAAAAUCCUUUUUGUGCCAGCCAGAGGCAUUUAGCAGUUUGUAACAGUACUUAAG